UACAGAGGGUGCGAGCGUUAAUCGGAAUUACUGGGCGUAAAGCGUGCGUAGACGGUUAUUUAAGUCGGGUGUGAAAGCCCCCGGGCUCAACCUGGGAAUUGCAUUCGAGACUGAAUAGCUAGGGUACGGUAGAGGGAAGUGGAAUUUCCGGUGUAGCGGUGAAAUGCGUAGAUAUCGGAAGGAACAUCAGUGGCGAAGGCGGCUGCCUGGCCCAAUACUGACACUCAGGUGCGACAGCGUGGGGAGCAAACAGG
rnacentral:rRNA from 1 species